rnacentral:rRNA from 1 species
GUGGGGAAUAUUGGACAAUGGGGGCAACCCUGAUCCAGCAAUGCCGCGUGUGUGAAGAAGGCCUGCGGGUUGUAAAGCACUUUCAGUAGGGAAGAAAACUUAAGGAUUAAUAAUCCUUAAGCCUGACGUAACCUACAGAAGAAGCACCGGCUAACUCCGUGCCAGCAGCCGCGGUAAUACGGAGGGUGCGAGCGUUAAUCGGAAUUACUGGGCGUAAAGCGCGCGUAGGCGGCUUGGUAAGUCGGAUGUGAAAGCCCCGGGCUUAACUUGGGAAUUGCAUUCGAUACUGCCAGACUAGAGUAUGGUAGAGGGAAGUAGAAUUCCCGGUGUAGCGGUGAAAUGCGUAGAUAUCGGGAGGAAUACCAGUGGCGAAGGCGGCUUCCUGGACCAAUACUGACGCUGAGGUGCGAAAGCGUGGGGAGCAAACAGG